GCCGGCGAUCCUUACCAGGCAAGCUUAGAUUCCUCUGCUGAUCCUAUCUAAUACUGUCUGGUUAUGUCGCCGGC
ncrna:Petromyzon marinus (sea lamprey) microRNA pma-mir-429 precursor